GCGUGUGUGAAGAACGGCUUAGGGUUGUAAAGCACUUUCAGGGGGUGAGGAAGGGUGAUGAAUUAAUACUUCAUUACUUUGACGUUAGCCCCAGAAGAAGCACCGGCUAACUCUGUGCCAGCAGCCGCGGUAAUACAGAGGGUGCAAGCGUUAAUCGGAAUUACUGGGGCGUAAAGCGCGCGUAGGUGGUUUGUUAAGUCUGAUGUGAAAUCCCAGGGCUCAACCUUGGAAUGGCACCGGAUACUGGCUAGCUAGAGUAUGGUAAGGGGUGUGGAAUUUCCUGUGUAGCGGUGAACUGCGUAAUAUAGGAAGGAACAUCAGUGGCGAAGGCAGACACCCUGGACUAAUACUGACACUGAGGUGCGAAAGCGUGGGGAGCAAACAGGAUUACGAUACCCUGGUAGUCCACGCCGUAAACGAUGUCUACUAGCCCGUUGGGUUGUAAUAGACUUAGUGGCGCAGCUAACGCAAUAAGUAGACCGCCUGGGGAGUACGGCCGCAAAGGUUAAAACUCAAAUGAAUU
rnacentral:rRNA from 1 species